GACGAACGCUGGCGGCGUGCCUAAUACAUGCAAGUUGAGCGCUGAAGGUUGGUACUUGUACCAACUGGAUGAGCAGCGAACGGGUGAGUAACGCGUGGGGAAUCUGCCUUUGAGCGGGGGACAACAUUUGGAAACGAAUGCUAAUACCGCAUAAAAACUUUAAACACAAGUUUUAAGUUUGAAAGAUGCAAUUGCAUCACUCAAAGAUGAUCCCGCGUUGUAUUAGCUAGUUGGUGAGGUAAAGGCUCACCAAGGCGAUGAUACAUAGCCGACCUGAGAGGGUGAUCGGCCACAUUGGGACUGAGACACGGCCCAAACUCCUAAGGGAGGCAGCAGUAGGGAAUCUUCGGCAAUGGACGAAAGUCUGACCGAGCAACGCCGCGGGAGUGAAGAAGGUUUUCGGAUCGUAAAACUCUGUUGGUAGAGAAGAACGUUGGUGAGAGUGGAAAGCUCAUCAAGUGACGGUAACUACACAGAAAGGGACGGCUAACUACGUG
rnacentral:rRNA from 1 species